UCAAAGUGCAAAUUUGAGGCAGCACCGAAAGGGUGCCGGGGACUUCUCCCGUUU
rnacentral:tRNA from 1 species